GCCCCCACCUUCCUCUCUUAUGCUAAUAGGAAGGAGGGUGGUGCUGGUCGAGGGGGAGUAGAUAGAGACACUAUUGUAGAUCAGCUCUGAUGGAUGCAGUAGAGGGCUGUGUUGCUGCUGCUCCUUUACUCGCUUUCAGAAAAAAAAUGUGAUUGCAUAUGGUGAAUUAUUGUUACACUAAAUCCCUCAUAUAUCCAUUGAUUGACUGAUUUACAAUGUAUUUAGAUUUCCCUUUUUUGAAGCCUCCCUCUUCAUAAUGCAAUACUACCAAUAUGUUGUUUAAAUGCAUUCAUAAUUCACCAACGCAGAUCUUAAGUAAGUAAUGAAUCUAAAGUCGGAGAUAUGAGUACACGCAAAACUGGUUUAAAAAAAAAAAACGUAUACUAAAUGAAAUUCAUGAAAUAUUCUGUGCAUGCCAUUUUUUCCCCCUAUUUCAGACACCUGCAGUGACUUAAUGCUGAGGAGGCAGGCUGCUUGAGUCGUGCGGCAGGACUGGCUGUGGGUUUGUUUUUUUUUCGGCUGACCCAGUUGGGAGGCACAUUGAAUAUGCAACUAAGACACAGACGGGAGAGAAAACUUGGCGACACAUGACUGGAUAAUCAUCACGGUGUUUUAAUAUUCAAGAGAGAGGAGCGAUAACAUUAGGGAAGAGGCUACAAAAUAUGGGGGACCAUUGAGGUUGAGAUUCGCGGUAGAGCAGACAAAAGGGGGAGAAGAAGAGUAUAAGAAAGGAGAGAAGAAAGAAGAUGGAGCGAAAAACAGGCAACGAUGGAGCGCAAGGAAUGCACCUCCUCUUCUACAGCUACAGAUUAAACAUGAAGAAAGAGUUCGCAAAAAGAGAUGGAGAAGAGAAAGAGAAGAAUAAGACGGGAAAAAAAAGGGAGUCUGGUGGUUGCCAUGGUGAUGAGAGGGGAGAGAUUCCAGAGUGGUCUCAGCCAUUACGCAGUGUGUUGGGGAGAUGGACUGUGCAGCACUUAGGCUUAUUGCAGUGUGGGCUGAAACAGAACAGAUAUCUAAUAUAGACGAGAUGGGCUCGCACCAAAAUGGUGGAUGGUAAGCACAGUCCUAAUAAAAAGAGGCUGUGGAAUACAGGAGGUUUCACUGCCAAGAGCUGCGCUGAGAAAAGC